UACGUAGGGUGCGAGCGUUAAUCGGAAUUACUGGGCGUAAAGCGCGCGUAGGCGGUUUUGUAAGUCGGGUGUGAAAUCCCCAAGCUUAACUUGGGAACUGCAUUCGAGACUGCAUAGCUAGAGUAUGGGAGAGGGAAGUGGAAUUUCAGGUGUAGCGGUGAAAUGCGUAGAUAUCUGAAGGAACAUCAGUGGCGAAAGCGACUUCCUGGACCAAUACUGACGCUCAUGUGCGAAAGCGUGGGGAGCGAACAGG
rnacentral:rRNA from 1 species